rnacentral:lncRNA from 1 species
CCCCUCUCGGGAUUAUCUUCUUCUUCCAAAAAUCCUUCUCUUUAAGUUUCACCUCCGAGUUCUCCUUCUUAGACUCCUCCUCAGCUCCUCAUCGGGGUCCUGAAAUGUUUUUCCCCAAACUGGGAUGAGACUACGUCUCAGCGAGUUCUACCCCACUAAGCCCGAUUAGUAAACCAUUAUACUAUAGGCUGCCUAAACACGCACAGGGCAGAGGACUUACCUUGGCCUCAGAUUCCACCUGCAAGUCAGUACAAUUCACAUACCUUACGUAUAGAAUCGAUACAUCCAGCAAUUGAAACGCAUCACUCAACUCAAUAAAACACAAGGGUCCAGAUUAUAGGGCCAAAUCGUUAUGACACGUCCCAUACCAUGUCACACAAUUAUGUCUCAUAAUCCGGCGCAUCAAACUCAACCAUCAUGCGUUCCAAUUGUUAAUUACACCCCUCAAGGGUACGGCCAACUCUAUUGGCGGUCUUCUGGCAUUGCCAGGCGUCGUCUCCCCCGUGAGCACGGCAACGUCUCUCAAUUAGACGGCUUCCCCGAAGGGGCGUAGGUCCAGAAUCUACUGCGACCCGCUACCCUAAUGCAUGGGUAACCCGAAAAGGGAUUUAGUAACGUCCGGCAUAAUUGCUCGAGACUGGUUCUCUUAACCAACACACGACCACUCAAUCUCGGCCUAGGACCCUGUGCAUUGCACUCAAAUGCCUCCAUUAAAAUAGUGAUCCUGGCCUAUUUCCUUCGUAUUAAAAACAUCCCGAAAAUAGUCGUGUGUGGGUACACGGUCAAUUCGAACCAGAAGACUGAUACUUAUCUUUUUCAAACCCCACUAUUUGAUAUAGUACUAAAAAUCCAUUUUCGGUGUUAAAACCCGACACCCGGGAUUUUCUGAAUAAAUAUCAAGAUCCACAAAUUUUGGAAUUAAAUACCAAGAAUCCAAUCAGCACUCAAUUUGCAUAAUUUAACACUCAAUUGCAGAAUUUAACCACGCCAUUUACCAAUCCAUAAUUCAGUCUCUAUCAAUUCCAAUCAAUUUAGAGUAAAUCUCUAAAAUAUCACAAUUUAUUUAAUUCCAUACAACGUGGAGCUCAAAUAAAUAAACGGACUGCGCCACAAUGAUCAGCACGAGAUUUCGGUCGUCGGCCAUCAAAAUCUUAAUUUCCGAAAAAUAAUUAAUUAAUUUAUUAAUUUUGAAAAUUAAAUAAUUAAUAUUAAAAAUUCAAUUUAGCACAAAAUAAAGCCUAAUUAAAUAAACGAACUUCACCACAGUCAUCAGCAUAAAAUUCCGGUUCCGGACCAUCUCAGUUGAAUUUUCGGAAAAUAAAUAAAUAAUUAAUUUAAUUCCGAAAAAUAAUAUUUAAAUGCCAAAAAUCACACUUAGGCCCAAAUCGCCAAAUUGAAGCCCAAUUAGGGGUCGGAAAAUUUCCGAGAUACUUCCAAUAAAUAGUAGACCACGUCUACUUGUUAAUUGCGCAAUCAAUUUAUCUAAAUCACAUCACAAUUAACUAAUAAUUGCUAAUUUAUUCUAAUCUAACAACCUAAACAUAAUUAAUUAAAACUAAACCAACCUUAAGCAUAAUUAGCCAACUAAUCCUGGAUUAGUGAGAUUACUCACCAAAUCGUGCGCAAAUCGGAUCAAUCCGACGGCGGCGACGCGAGGAACGAAACUUCCCAAAGCGACUCGCGGAUCCAGGGCCCGGAAACGGCCCAAAAGCGGGCCCAAACCAGCUGGAAACCCAUUUCGUGGGUUGCUGGUCGGGGCUGGCCGGGGUUGCUCCGGUGGCCAAAACAGCGAGGGAAGGCCAGCGGAAGGUGAGGGGGACGCCGGGGAGGUCCGGCGGAGUUGGGC